rnacentral:rRNA from 1 species
GACGAACGCUGGCGGCGUGCCUAAUACAUGCAAGUCGAGCGAAGUUUUUCUGGUGCUUGCACUAGAAAAACUUAGCGGCGAAUGGGUGAGUAACACGUAAAGAACCUGCCUCAUAGACUGGGACAACUAUUGGAAACGAUAGCUAAUACCGGAUAACAGUAUUUCUCGCAUGAGAGAUAUUUAAAAGUUGGUUAUGCUAACACUAUGAGAUGGCUUUGCGGUGCAUUAGCUAGUUGGUGGGGUAAAGGCCCACCAAGGCGACGAUGCAUAGCCGACCUGAGAGGGUGAUCGGCCACACUGGGACUGAGACACGGCCCAGACUCCUACGGGAGGCAGCAGUAGGGAAUCCUCCGCAAUGGGCGAAAGCCUGACGGAGCAACGCCGCGUGAGUGAAGAAGGAUUUCGGUUCGUAAAGCUCUGUUGUUAGGGAAGAAUGGAUAUGUAGUAACUAUACAUGUAAGAGACGGUACCUAACCAGAAAGCCACGGCUAACUACGUG